rnacentral:rRNA from 1 species
CCUACGGGAGGCUGCAGUGGGGAAUAUUGGACAAUGGGCGAAAGCCUGAUCCAGCCAUGCCGCGUGUGUGAAGAAGGCCUUCGGGUUGUAAAGCACUUUCAGUGGGGAAGAAAGCCUUGGGGCUAAUACCCUCGAGGAAGGACAUCACCCACAGAAGAAGCACCGGCUAACUCCGUGCCAGCAGCCGCGGUAAUACGGAGGGUGCGAGCGUUAAUCGGAAUUACUGGGCGUAAAGCGCGCGUAGGCGGUCUGAUAAGCCGGUUGUGAAAGCCCCGGGCUCAACCUGGGAACGGCACCCGGAACUGUCAGGCUAGAGUACAGGAGAGGAAGGUAGAAUUCCCGGUGUAGCGGUGAGAUGCGUAGAGAUCGGGAGGAAUACCAGUGGCGAAGGCGGCCUUCUGGACUGACACUGACGCUGAGGUGCGAAAGCGUGGGUAGCAAACAGGAUUAGAUACCCUUGUAGUC